AGGCCCUACGGGGCGCAGCAGGCGCGAAACCUCCGCAAUGCGGGAAACCGCGACGGGGUCAGCCGGAGUGCUCGCGCAUCGCGCGGGCUGUCGGGGUGCCUAAAAAGCACCCCACAGCAAGGGCCGGGCAAGGCCGGUGGCAGCCGCCGCGGUAAUACCGGCGGCCCGAGUGGCGGCCACUUUUAUUGGGCCUAAAGCGUCCGUAGCCGGGCUGGUAAGUCCUCCGGGAAAUCUGGUCGCUUAACGAUCAGACUUCCGGAGGAUACUGCCAGCCUAGGGACCGGGAGAGGCCGGGGGUAUUCCCGGAGUAGGGGUGAAAUCCUGUAAUCCCGGGAGGACCACCUGUGGCGAAGGCGCCCGGCUGGAACGGGUCCGACGGUGAGGGACGAAGGCCAGGGGAGCGAACCGGAUUAGAUACCCGGGUAGUCCUGGCUGUAAACGAUGCGGACUAGGUGUCACCGAAGCUACGAGCUUCGGUGGUGCCGGAGGGAAGCCGUUAAGUCCGCCGCCUGGGGAGUACGGCCGCAAGGCUGAAACUUAAAGGAAUUGGCGGGGGAGCACUACAACCGGGUGGAGCCUGCGGUUUAAUUGGAUUCAACGCCGG
rnacentral:rRNA from 1 species